GAGGGGAGAGAGAAAGGGAGGAAGAGAAAAUACCAACUGAUAAGAUGCUUUUGAAAUGUGUCUACUAAUUGAUAAGAGACAAGCUCAGACUCGUCCUGUGGUAAUGUGUAUUGACUGCAUCUUGUGACCAUGACCAAGAUCUUUG